AUACGGAGGGUGCAAGCGUUAUCCGGAUUUAUUGGGUUUAAAGGGUUCGUAGGCGGACAAGUCAGUCAGUGGAGAAAGCCUGUGGCUCAACCAUAGAACUGCCAUUGAUACUGCUUGUCUUGAGUGCACUUGAAGUGGGCGGAAUGAGUUAUGUAGCGGUGAAAUGCAUAGAUAUAACUUAGAACACCGAUUGCGAAGGCAGCUCACUAAAUUGUAACUGACGCUGAGGAACGAAAGCGUGGGGAGCGAACAGGAUUAGAAACCCUAGUAGUCC
rnacentral:rRNA from 1 species